rnacentral:tRNA from 1 species
AAGAUACUAGUAAUAAAGAUUACACUGCCUUGUCAAGGCAAAGUUGUAGGUUAAACUCCUGCGUAUCUUG